rnacentral:rRNA from 1 species
AUUGAACGCUGGCGGCAGGCCUAACACAUGCAAGUCGAGCGGAUGAAGGGAGCUUGCUCCUGGAUUCAGCGGCGGACGGGUGAGUAAUGCCUAGGAAUCUGCCUGGUAGUGGGGGAUAACGUCCGGAAACGGGCGCUAAUACCGCAUACGUCCUGAGGGAGAAAGUGGGGGAUCUUCGGACCUCACGCUAUCAGAUGAGCCUAGGUCGGAUUAGCUAGUUGGUGGGGUAAAGGCCUACCAAGGCGACGAUCCGUAACUGGUCUGAGAGGAUGAUCAGUCACGCUGGAACUGAGACACGUUCCAGACUCCUACGGGAGGCAGCAGUGGGGAAUAUUGGACAAUGGGCGAAAGCCUGAUCCAGCCAUGCCGCGUGUGUGAAGAAGGUCUUCGGAUUGUAAAGCACGUUAAGUUGGGAGGAAGGGCAGUAAGUUAAUACCUUGCUGUUUUGACGUUACCAACAGAAUAAGCACCGGCUAACUUCGUG